GACGAACGCUGGCGGCGUGCUUAACACAUGCAAGUCGAACGGACAGACCCUGCUUUUGUGGGGUGCUCGAGUGGCGAACGGGUGAGUAACACGUGAGUAACCUGCCCUUGACUUUGGGAUAACUUCAGGAAACUGGGGCUAAUACAGGAUAGGAGCUCCUGCUGCACGGUGGGGGAUGGAAAGAGUCGGCGGUUGGGGAUGUACUCGCGGCUUAUGCGCUUGAUGGUGGAGUAGUGACUUACCAAGGCUGUGAAGGGUAGCCGGCCUGAGAGGGGGACCGGGCACAUGGGGACUGAGAUAGGGACCAGACGCCUACGGGAGGCAGCAGUGGGGAGUAUUGCACAGUAGGCGGAAGCGUGAGGCAGCAACGCCGCGUGCGGGAUGACGGCUUUCGGGUGGUAAACCGAUUUCGCCUGAGACGAAGCGUGAGUGACGGUAAUGGGUAAAGAAGCACCGGCUAACUACGUG
rnacentral:rRNA from 1 species